GACGGAGGAUGCAAGUGUUAUCCGGAAUCACUGGGCGUAAAGCGUCUGUAGGUUGUUUAAAAGGUCUGCAGUUAAAGGUUGAAGCUUAACUUCAAAAAUGCCGUAGAAACUUUUAAACUAAGAGGAUGGUAGGGUAGAGGGAAUUUCCAGUGGAGGCGGUGAAAUGUGUAGAUAUUGGAAAGACCACCGAUGGCGAAGGCACUCUACUGGGCCAUGACUGACACUGAGAGACGAAAGCUAGGGGAGCAAAUGGG
rnacentral:rRNA from 1 species